rnacentral:rRNA from 1 species
UACGGGGGGGAGCAAGCGUUGUUCGGAUUUACUGGGCGUAAAGGGCGCGUAGGCGGUCAGCACAAGUCAGUUGUGAAAUCUCCGGGCUUAACUCGGAAAGGUCAACUGAUACUGUGCGACUAGAGUGCAGAAGGGGCAACUGGAAUUCUCGGUGUAGCGGUGAAAUGCGUAGAUAUCGAGAGGAACACCUGCGGCGAAGGCGGGUUGCUGGGCUGACACUGACGCUGAUGCGCGAAAGCCAGGGAGCGAACGGG